rnacentral:rRNA from 1 species
AUGGGCUCUUUAGAUUUCUUUUCUUCCUUUUAUGACUGCAAAGCAGUAGAAGUAGGAGCAGGAUCAACCUCCAUCUGGGUAGGGGCACCAGAUGAGGUGACCGGGGUGGUAUUCUCUCGGGAAGCAAUUUGCUCCCCCUCAACUUUGUCAUCCUCCUUGUUGAAUCCGGAGGGCUCUACUUGCAUUUCCUUCGGAGGCAAUGAAACUGCCUUUUUAGCCUCAAUCUCUUCAUCAGUUUUCUCUUCAUGGGCUUGCUGCCCGGGCUGGACAUUUCUUUCAUCAGGGUUGUUCAGAAAGAUAUAA